rnacentral:rRNA from 1 species
GACGAACGCUGGCGGCGUGCCUAAUACAUGCAAGUUGAGCGCUGAAGGUUGGUACUUGUACCAACUGGAUGAGCAGCGAACGGGUGAGUAACGCGUGGGGAAUCUGCCUUUGAGCGGGGACAACAUUUGGAAACGAAUGCUAAUACCGCAUAAAAACUUUAAACGCAAGUUUUAAGUUUGAAAGAUGCAAUUGCAUCACUCAAAGAUGAUCCCGCGUUGUAUUAGCUAGUUGGUGAGGUAAAGGCUCACCAAGGCGAUGAUACAUAGCCGACCUGAGAGGGUGAUCGGCCCAAUUGGGACUGGGACACGGCCCCAACUCCUACGGGAGGCAGCCGUAGGGAAUCUUCGGCAAUGGACGAAAGUCUGACCGAGCAACGCCGCGUGAGUGAAGAAGGUUUUCGGAUCGUAAAACUCUGUUGGUAGAGAAGAACGUUGGUGAGAGUGGAAAGCUCAUCAAGUGACGGUAACUACCCAGAAAGGGACGGCUAACUACGUG